rnacentral:lncRNA from 1 species
AAUAUUACAGAGUUUACAUGUUCAUAAAGUGUAUAUAAUGCGGUUGUAUUAAUUAUGACGUAAAAGAAUAAAAGUGAAAGUGAAAAUGUAAAACAGUGUUCAUGAUGUAGCAAGAAUAAAAGUUAAAAAUAGAAAUAAAAACAAAUGUGGAUUGUUAAAUAUUUAAAAUAACACAGUUUCAAAAUAUCAGCAUCUCAUUACUUCUGCUUUUCUUACAUCUUUGAACAUGACGUUGUAUAUACAAAAUAUGGUUCUUGUAAGAUCUAACUCCUGGAUGUGCUGUGCUUGGUAUUCUGUACAGUACCACACCCACUGUCCCGGUGGUCCAAAUCAUUGAAAAUAUCGUCCAACAUCAGUUAGCUGCAUCUUUUUUAUCUUCUGCUUCUUUCAUUUUCUGUUCUUUUUCUUCUUUUUUCGUUAUUUCUUUUUCUCUUUUCUGUCUCUUUUUUAUAACUGCAUCACUUAUUGCUUUCUGCAUCCGUUGCCGCAUUAUCCUUUCUUUAUUUACCUCCCAAUGAAUCGCCUUUUUCAUGUCAAUUUCGUCUGGUAUCUGUACAAAUCUUAUAUUCGGUCCUUGUAUGUAAAAUUGCUCAAAAUUAGUCAUUUUUCCUGACAAUGUUUUGAAGCAAACAUUUGACAUUGAAACACACAUAAAUCCGUCAACAUAAUCAAUUGUUCCUGUGACUGUAUGUUCAUUCCGUAAUUCAACAGUCGUCACUUUUCCUUCAAGCGCUUUUAACAAAGAAAUAAGUGAAUUUUUAAUCAGAAAUUUCUGUCGAUUACUUGCCAUCUUCAGGGAUUAUU